rnacentral:tRNA from 2 species
GGAGGGAUGGCAGAGCGGUAAUGCAACGGAUUGCUAAUCCGUCAACGUGUAACAGCGUUGCGGGGGUUCGAGUCCCCCUCCCUCCGCCA